rnacentral:rRNA from 1 species
CAGUCGACGAUGAGGGGAGCUUGCUCCCUGGAUUAGUGGCGAACGGGUGAGUAACACGUGAGUAACCUGCCCUUGACUCUGGGAUAAGCACUGGAAACGGUGUCUAAUACCGGAUACGAACUUCAGCCGCAUGGCUAGGAGUUGGAAAGAAUUUCGGUCAAGGAUGGACUCGCGGCCUAUCAGCUAGUUGGUGAGGUAAUGGCCCACCAAGGCGACGACGGGUAGCCGGCCUGAGAGGGUGACCGGCCACACUGGGACUGAGACACGGCCCAGACUCCUACGGGAGGCAGCAGUGGGGAAUAUUGCACAAUGGGCGCAAGCCUGAUGCAGCAACGCCGCGUGAGGGACGACGGCCUUCGGGUUGUAAACCUCUUUUAGUAGGGAAGAAGCGAAAGUGACGGUACCUGCAGAAAAAGCACCGGCUAACUACGUGCCAGCAGCCGCGGUAAUACGUAGGGUGCAAGCGUUGUCCGGAAUUAUUGGGCGUAAAGAGCUCGUAGGCGGUUUGUCGCGUCUGCUGUGAAAUCCGGAGGCUCAACCUCCGGCCUGCAGUGGGUACGGGCAGACUAGAGUGCGGUAGGGGAGAUUGGAAUUCCUGGUGUAGCGGUGGAAUGCGCAGAUAUCAGGAGGAACACCAAUGGCGAAGGCAGAUCUCUGGGCCGUAACUGACGCUGAGGAGCGAAAGCAUGGGGAGCGAACAGGAUUAGAU